GUUGUGGAUAUUUGAUUUCAUGCUUGUGCCAAAGUGUGCAUACAAGCUAUAGAAAAUUUGUUCUUGGUUGGAUAUUUGAUUUCCUGGUUCACCUUUUCCCACCAAUUCCACAAAAAUUGUUGGUAUCCAAUGAAUAAUUAUGAAUCUGCAGUACAAUCCAUAUAAAGUCAGUGAUCCUUUGAGUAAACCCAUGUAAAGUCAGUGAUCCUUUGAGUAAACCCAUGUAAAGUCAGUGAUCCUUUGAGUAAACCCAUGUAAAGUCAGUGAUCCUUUGAGUAAACCCAUGUAAGGUCAGUGAUCCUUUGAGUAAACCCAUGUAGAGUCAGUAAUCCUUUGAGUAA